UGCAGCAGCACAGAAUUCCUCAAAAUCCAUCCUUCGGUAUUGCAGUGCAUUAAGUGAAGCAACGAAAUCAUGAAUGCGUGCCUCCUUCAUGGCAUCUGUUGCAUAUUUCAUCAGGGCCGCUUUAAUGUUAUCCAAGUUUAUUGUGCCAUUUUUGUUUGGCUCCAGCAGUGCAAACUGCUGCUUCAAAUGGACCAACUCAUCUACGGUCAAUGUCUUUGACAACGCCCUUAGAG
rnacentral:misc_RNA from 1 species